ACUUAAUAAUAAAUCAAACAAUAAUAAUAAGUUAAAUGCAAUUACAACUAGAUACAAUUGAUAAGAGUUUAAGAUCAUUAAUAAAUAAAAGUAUUAAAAUAAGUUAAAUGCUAAAAUUAAUUAUUUAGAGACUAAAUAUGAAUGAGGUGAAAUAUAAUUUAAGAAAACUUCAAGAAGCUGGCAACACCGUUAGACCCGUUGAUGAUUUGACGUUUCUGCCCUAACCACAAAUUAAUUAAUCUAAACAAAAAUCACAAUCAGAUUAUUUAUUAAUAAUAAUUAUUGAAGGUAUUAUUGUUAUUAAAAAGCAACCAAACAACUAACAAAAUGCAAUGAAUAUUUCCACUUGAACAGAAG